UGAAUUUAGAGUGAUUUCCCUUUAUAAUGGACUUGAUUGGUGUCUGUCAUUAUCACAUGUGAUAGACCUCGUUAAACACGUUCCAAAUAUAAUUUUAACACAGAGAUCACUGCUAUGAUAGAUGCGUAGUGAAGGUUUCUACAAAAGGAAGUGACGAAUACAGAAGGAAAACACAACUUAUCCUUCUAUAUAUAACAAUAUAACUGACUGAAGUGACGAGUGAUAACAGCGAUACACCGGCCAAUUUCUGCUCACUUGCACUAACAAUUCCUUCGAAGACCAAAAGUUGUUAUGUGAAGACUGUGAGAGGAUAUCUGACAAUUCAAAAAAAUCUCCAUCUUGAAGGCAACAAUUUCUUUCUACGUACAGCACUGCAUUUACUAAUUCGGUGUUUCUCUCUUUUGUACCUGUAUAUGGUUUCCUAAGCUUAUACAUUAUUAGUUCUAAUUCUUCAUUUCUUAAGAGCACCUUUAUCAGGUGCUCUUCUUCUUGUCUUCUACUUGUUCUUCUUUCUGUAAAUAAUUGGCUGUUUUGUUCCUGUGUAUUGUAAAUAAACUGUAUAGCUGUGUUCCUGUCUUUGUCUCUUUUCGUUCAACCCGCGACCUGGAAAGGGGAUAGUCCGUUGUCCAUCGAUCCUGCUACAUUAAUAUACCGUCCUUUCUGUCAAAUUGUCAUUUUUAAUUUAAAAUCGUAGCGUUUUUAUGUCAGAAUGUGAUUUCCUCGUAACUUUGGAAGUCGUAACCAAGGGACAUAACUCCUCUAAGACACAAAUCUAACGAAAACAACCAUUAUUUCAACUCAUAUCAUUAUUAUUAUUAUUAUAGUGCGCCCUUUCAAGGCUUUCAUAUAACAUGUUCAGGGGCACUUUCAAAGUGACAAUGUAAUCAUAAAUAAACAACAAGAUUAUGGGCAUACAAUAACUUAUAUCGAUUUUUGAUAAUCUAUCGUUCCCUUUGCCAAAUUGACGUUGUGUCAAAAUGUGACUUCUAUGGAAAUUUGGAAGUCGUAACAAAGGGACAUAACUCGUGUUAAACACAAAUCUACCCAAAUUCACCAUCAUUUCGACAGUUUAAAAUAGUUUAAAAUCAUAGCCUUUUUGUAUCAAAAUCCGUUCUUUUUUGGGCAGAGUACAGAAGGGAAAUAACUCGGGGACCGCAUAACUCUAUCCAUAAUUCUGAAUGAUAUAUGCCUCAACAGGAAAGUCAUUUUACAAUACAUAUAUAUGCAUAGACCUAGUGAUGCUUGCUUUGUAGGGCAAAAGUUGGCUCGUGGAAGGAGGGUAAAGUAGAGGAGGAGGAGGAAAAUAUAAAAUUUUAAUAGCAUAUUAGCUGUGAUAGAUACGUUGACUGAUUUAGGACACGCAAAAAAAAAUAAUAUCUCGAGCGCUCGAGAUACUAAGUCGAGCGCUCGAGAUAAAACAAUCGAACACGUCUCAACCGAUGUUUUAAGCUGUAUAAUUUUGUACAUUAAUGAUAAAC